UAUUAAUUCCCCUGAAUGUGACUCUUCCUCCCCUAGAAACCAACAGCUGGCAAUAGCUGCUCAAAUUGGCUUAGGCCUCAGGAGCCCUCAACCCUCCAUGAUGGAUUUUUAAUUUGCUUGAUCUUGUGCAGAGAGACACAGUUGCUUUGAGUUCAUGUGAGUAACAGCCAUGCCCCAUCCAGAACUCACCACUUGCAGCUCGCCUCCCAUUCUACAGCUCUUCUGUCUCUCUGCCUCCUCUUCCGUGGUACUCACAGAGCUUCAGAGAGGUGGAGGAACAGGAGCAUCCAUCCACAGGUUUAUGGUCACCUCUGCUUUCAAACCCUUGGGAGUCAACUCGAACACUCAAGACUUUAGAGAACAAUAAAACUGUAAACCUUCAAUUUCCUGGGAAUAUCACAGGACAGAGAGCAAAUUCACAGAAAAAACUAAAGAGCUUUACCUCCCUGUGCAUCCUACAGUUUUAAUGCAUCAGUGCACCCACUAAAGGCCUUGUGAUCUCACCUAACAAAAAAAAGAGAAAGAUUCUUUUGUAACACUCUGAACAGCAUGCUCCAAACCCAUCUGUAUGGCUAUAGUGGCACACCUAAACAUUGACCUUUCUUGGGAAGUCCGGUUCUCACUCUGGCCUGUGCAAUGCUCUCCCUAAGCUGCUCAAGCCUAAACCUAUGCUACAACCUUUUUAUUAACUAAGAAUAUUAAUUAUUAUGAAUGCAUGUCAGAAAGAAUGAGCAAAUGAAUGAGUGAAUGAAUGAGUGUGUGUGUGUGUGUAUGGAAGUCAGAGAACAACUUUCUUUGAUGAGUUCUCCCUUUUUACCUUGGUAUCCAGGGAUGAAACCCAGGUCGUCGGGUUGAUACUUUGACCCACCUUGCCUUCUCAUUGUCCUUAAAACAUUUUAAUAAACUGCCACUCAGCUUCA
rnacentral:sRNA from 1 species